UUUGAGAUCUGUCUCUUCUGGGGCUCGGAUCUCCAGAAAGAUUUCUGUCCUUAGGCUGAGUGGGAUUUGGGAUGGCUUUGCAAAGCUGUAUGGAAUGGAGGGAGGCAGAGUGCAAGCAGAUGCUGGCCUGGAGUCUGUUAUUGAGACUGCCAAUUGUUCUGAAUUGUUUCUGUGGCAAAUUAGUGAAAAGGAGAAACGGCUAUUAGGGGAAUAAACUGAGAUCGUCACGCUCAUUAUUGGAGCAACUAAACCCAGGCACAAACUGAGUUCUCUGGAGUUGAAAGGUUAUAUCAUCAUUACCAUCUUAGCUGAGAGUUCAGAAUUUUCUCCUUCUUCAUUUCCACCACAUCGAAUUGCUCUCUUCCAUCAAGAUGCAGCUCAAGAACCACUUACAAUAUAUGAAACUUCCUGAGCACCCAAUUGUUAGGGCUAUCCAUCCCAAACUAUCUUGUAUUUAUUUUGCAUGUGUUUUAACACAUGUGCGUAUAUGUUCCCAUAUGCAUAUUGCCUUCCCUGAUGGAAUGUUUAAGAUUAUGGAUUGUCUCCUUUGUAUAGUUGUUAACUAUCAUCAGGUUUAGCACAGUGGCUGGCACAGUGUAGGUGCUUAAUAAAUACUCGUUGAUCAAUUUAUUGACUGAA